UCAGCCUAUUCUGUGUGUGUCACCUUUUUGUGCAGGGCUGUUUAUGCUACCAAUGACCUGUUUUCAGGUCAGAACUGAGUUAUUUAUCUUCUCUUUUCUUGGGACUCUCUUAGCUUCGUUUUGUUGACUGUAACCACCGAUUUUGCUUGUUCUUCUACCUCUUUGCUGUGAAUUUUUAGGAGGCUAUUUUGAAUGUCUGCCCAUUCUUGAUUAAAGAGGUAAUUGUGAGACAGGAAACCAUUGAGAGGAAAACAUAGGCAGUAACCUCUUUAACAUCAACCGAGCAGCUUCUUAUAAGAUCUAUAGGAAGACAAAUUCUAAUAAGAAAGUUCUUUGCUGAGGGUGGCGUCCAAACAAGCCAACUUAAUCAAAAGCAGAAUGUUUAAUGCCUCCUCUAUUCAGUAGCCCAGUGUGCCCCUCUACAAUGAAAUGGACUGGAUUUGGCAUUGUCAUCAUUGACCAUGGGCUCUCCAGACAAAGUCUGACCAUCAGCAGCAACAGAGAAGUCAAGACUUUUCUUUCAGCUUUUGCCUUGCCACCUUCUGAAGCAUCUUCUGGGGCAAGGCAGAAUAUAUUUUGUUUUCCCCUCUGCUGUUAUCCAAUUAUUCCCAGACACUUUUCAUAUUCUUUCUGAAUCUUCCAUUUGAUGUAGUGGUUAGAAGCAUGGACUAUGGAGCUAGACUCUCUCUGUUCUUAAUCCUGGCUCUGCCAUUUAUGAGCUGCAUGACUUUGCAAAAUGUAAGCCCUCGGUUCUUCAGUCUCUGUUUAUAAAAUGGAGCUGCUAUGAGAAUGGCAUCCCAGA